AGCGAACGCUGGCGGCAGGCUUAACACAUGCAAGUCGAACGGGCAUCUUCGGAUGUCAGUGGCAGACGGGUGAGUAACACGUGGGAACGUACCCUUCGGUUCGGAAUAACUCAGGGAAACUUGAGCUAAUACCGGAUACGCCCUUUUGGGGAAAGGUUUACUGCCGAAGGAUUGGCCCGCGUCUGAUUAGCUUGUUAGUGGGGUAACGGCCUACCAAGGCGACGAUCAGUAGCUGGUCUGAGAGGAUGAUCAGCCACACUGGGACUGAGACACGGCCCAGACUCCUACGGGAGGCAGCAGUGGGGAAUAUUGGACAAUGGGCGCAAGCCUGAUCCAGCCAUGCCGCGUGAGUGAUGAAGGCCUUAGGGUUGUAAAGCUCUUUUGUCCGGGACGAUAAUGACGGUACCGGAAGAAUAAGCCCCGGCUAACUUCGUG
rnacentral:rRNA from 1 species